rnacentral:rRNA from 1 species
UCAGUAACACGUAGUCAACAUGCCCAGGGGACGUGGAUAACCUCGGGAAACUGAGGAUAAACCGCGAUAAGUCACUACUUCUGGAAUGGGUAACGACUUAAACCUAUAUGGCCCCUGGAUUGGACUGCGGCCGAUCAGGCUGUUGGUGAGGUAAUGGCCCACCAAACCUGUAACCGGUACGGGCUCUGAGAGGAGGAGCCCGGAGAUGGGCACUGAGACAAGGGCCCAGGCCCUAUGGGGCGCAGCAGGCGCGAAACCUCUGCAAUAGGCGAAAGCCUGACAGGGUUACUCUGAGUGAUUUCCGUUAAGGAGGUCUUUUGGCACCUCUAAAAAUGGUGCAGAAUAAGGGGUGGGCAAGUCUGGUGCCAGCAGCCG